rnacentral:rRNA from 1 species
UCGAAGCAACGCGAAGAACCUUACCAGGUCUUGACAUCCCGUUGACCACUGUAGAGAUAUGGUUUCCCCUUCGGGGGUAACGGUGACAGGUGGUGCAUGGUUGUCGUCAGCUCGUGUCGUGAGAUGUUGGGUUAAGUCCCGCAACGAGCGCAACCCUUGAUCUUAGUUGCCAUCAUUUAGUUGGGCACUCUAAGGUGACUGCCGGUGACAAACCGGAGGAAGGUGGGGAUGACGUCAAAUCAUCAUGCCCCUUAUGACCUGGGCUACACACGUGCUACAAUGGACG